rnacentral:ncRNA from 1 species
GGUUGGGCUUUCAUAAGCUUCAAGGAAAUCAUUCUCCGAGGGCGCGGAGAA